ACCACCCACAGUGGACUUGGCCCUUCACAUCAACCAAUAACCAAGACAAUCCCUCCAGACAUGCCUACAGGCUCAUGGGAUUGGUCGAGGAGACGGUCCUUCAGCUGAGACUCCCCCAGACAGAUGGGUCAGGUUGCCAGUUGGAGCUGGCUAGGAGAAUUGCUGUGACCAAAACUGAUAUUAAAGCCCACAGAGCAGAGCAGCAGUGGAGGCUGGCUUCGGUCCCGAGACCUCCCAGGAGCUAGCAAAGCACACCUACUCCAAGGCAGUCCACAGCUGUGACCCUGCAAGGCUGGCACACCGUCCCCCGGCACUCCCUGAGGAAAACAGCGACAUCUGUCACUGCUCAAGUCAUCUGUACAGCCUCCUUUGAGGAACACGAGGAGGCCAGGCUGAGACGCUGGCCUACCUUCCUGAGAUGUUUCAGAAGACAUGGCUGCCCGGACCCCACUACAGGCAACAGUCCCCCUCCCUUGGUCUGGGAAGGAAUGUUUUUGAAGAUUGUCUUAGGGCCUGGAGAGAUGGCUCAGGUGUUGAGAGCAUUUGCUGCUGUUCCAGAGGACUUGGGGGUUCAAUUCCCAGCACCCACAGGACAGUUCACAGCGAUCUGUAAUUCCUGUUGCAAGGAUCUAACGCCCUCUUCUGGCCUCCAUGGACACCAGGCCCGCGAGUGACACACUUUCAUGCAUGCAGUCAAACACUCAUAAUUAAAAUAAUAAAUAAAAUCUUUAC